GACGAACGCUGGCGGCGUGCUUAACACAUGUAAGUCGAACGGAAAGGCCCUGCUUUUGUGGGGUGCUCGAGUGGCGCGCGGGUGAGUAACACGUGAGUAACCUGCCCUUGACUUUGGGAUAACUGCAGGAAACUGGGGCUAAUACCGGAUAGGAGCUCCUGCUGCAUGGGGGGGGUUGGACAGUUUCGGCGGUUGGGGAUGGACUCGCGGCUUAUCAGCUUGUUGGUGGGGUAGUGGCCUACCAAGGGUUUGACGGGUAGCCGGCCUGAGAGGGUGACCGGCCACAUUGGGACUGAGAUAGGGCCCAGACGCCUAUGUGGGGCACCAGGGGGGAAUAUGGCCCAAUGGGGGGGAGCCUGAUGCAGCAACCUCGGGUGCGGGAUGACGGCUUUCGGGUGGGAAAGCGCUUUAGCUUGUGACGAAGCGUGAGUGACGGUAAUGGGUGAAGAAGCACCGGCUAACUACGUG
rnacentral:rRNA from 1 species